UCAAACCCUAGCGCCCACUUUCCCCUCUCCUUCGCUCGCUCUCGCAUCCGCAAUGCGCAGCCGAGCCUCGUCGCCAUGGCCGAACUCGCCCAUGUAGCCACCGUCGUCCCCGGGCCGUGAGACAGUGUCCGGCCGCUCCAUCGUCGUCCGCUACGUCGUCCUCGCAGAACAAAUCAAGCAGGAGAGCCCCACGUCGCCACCAUCGAGCUCGUCUUCGACUGUCUGCAUCACCGGCUGCCGUCGUCGAUUCGCUCGACCCCGACCUUCCCUGGCAUCCUCGAGCUCGUCUUUGGCACCGCAGUGAGCUCCUCCUCCUCCCCCCUGCUUUGCCCCCCUUGAUUCACUGUUGUAGCCUCCGUCCCCGAGCUCAUCCGAUCUCACGCAUAUGCGUACAUACGAGCGUGCGUGCUCGGAGUUGUUGCUGCUCCUGCGUACUUGCUGCUAUCACUCGCGCCGCCCGCAUGGCCGACCCCCAUCGCCCCGUGGCCGCGACCGUGCCCCUGAACCCCGCUCCUGCCUGCCGCCGCCUAGGGUCGUGCCCUGCUCCCAUUACUCGCAAGCGCCAGCGCGCCUCCUCCCUGUUGCUGCCCGAUGCUUCUGCUAGUUGCUAUUCCUUCUGCCGCUGCCUGCUGCUGCUAUGCUCCGCUUGCUGUCGCCGCUCUGCUUGGUGCCGCUCUGCAUGGUGCGGUUUGCUGCUGCCGCGUGCUCUAACUGCUGCUGCCCGGGGCCGCGUAAUGGCUGCGCCCAGCCCGCGGGUGCAUGCGCGCAUGCGUCCCUGCUGAUGGCGUUGCUGGUUUCAGCCGCCGGCACCCUUGUGCUCGUGCGUGCUGCGGCUGCAGCUACUGCCUCUGUCCAGGAGGCCGGUCCCCGUUAGAUUAGUACUAAUCCCUCUAGUACUAAUCUCCGUUUAGUACUAAUUCUCUCUUGUACUAACGCACCCCCACUUUGGGUCUAAUACAUGCGGCCCCACUAGGUAAAUUGAUUAACUAAAAUAAUUUUAUCACAUAUUGCACUUACAUGUGGGUGCACUAACCCUAUUGACUGGUCAAUCAUUGACCUAGUCAACAGUCAACCAAACCCCCUUGACCCCACUGUCUUAGACUAGGCUAGGCAACCUUGGGUACACUUAGAAUUUCUGUAUUAAUUUAGAAUUAAUAAUAAAUCCAGGAAUUUCAAAAAUGAAUUAAAACUUUAAAAAUUAUUAUAAAAUAAUCCGCAGCUCGGAUGAAAAUACUUUGUACAUGAAAGUUGCUCAGAACAAUGAGACGAAUCCGGAUACGCAGCCCGUUCGUCCGCCACACAUCCCUAGCAUAGCGAACAUGAAACUUUCCCCCUCCGGUCCGUCUGUCCGAAAACGUGAAACACCGGGAAUACUUUCCCGGAUGUUUUCACCUUUUGCCGGUAUCACCCACUACCGCGUUAGGCCACACCUAGCACCGCUCAUUGUCAUGUUAUGCAUCGUCAUGAUUAUAUUUGCAUUGUAUCAUUGUUUCUUUCCCCUCUUCUCUCCGGUAGACUACGAGACUGACGCCGCUGCUGGUGCCCCAAUCGACUACGUUGUUGACGACCCCUUCUUGCCAGAGCAACCAGGCAAGCCCCCCCUUGAUCACCAGAUAUCGCCUAUUCCUUCUCUCUACUCCUUGCAUUAGAGUAGUGUAGCAUGUUACUGCUUUCAUUGUUGAUCCUAUUCUGCUGCAUAGCCUGUCAUUGUUGCUACAGUUGUUACCCUUACCUGCAAUUCUAAAUGCUUAGUAUAGGAUGCUAGUAUCCAUCAGUGGCCCUACAUUCUUGUCCGUCUGCCAUGCUAUACUAUCGGGCCGUGAUCACUCGGGAGGUGAUCACGGAUAUAUACAUAUAUACAUGCAUACUAUACAGGUGGUGACUAAAGUCGGGUCAGCUCGUUGAGUACCCGCAUGUGAUUCUGAUGUGGGGGGUGGAAGGACAGGUGGCUCCAUCCCGGUAGAGGUGGGCCUGGGUUCCCGACGGCCCCCGACUGUUACUUUGUGGCGAGCGACAGGGCAGGUUGAGACCACCUAGGAGAGAGGUGGGCCUGGCCCUGGUCGGCGUUCGCGGAUACUUCAAUUAACACGCUUAACGAGAUCUUGGUAUUUGAUCUGAGUCUGGCCACUGGCCUAUACGCACUAACCAACUACGCUGGAACAGUUAUGGGCACACGGCGUCGUGGUAUCAGCCGAAGCCUUCGUGACGUCUGCGACUGAGCGGCGCACGCCGGAUUGGACUGGAAUGCCUACUCUUGUAUAAGGGAGGCUAGGUCUGCUUCCGGCCGCCCACGCAACAUGCAGGUGCGCAAUGGGCGAUGGGCCCAGACCCCUACGCCAUAGGAUUUAGACCGGCGUGCUGACCUCUCUGUUGUGCCUAGGUGGGGCUGUGACGUGUUGAUCUUCCGAGGCCGGGCAUGACCCAGGAAAGUGUGUCCGGCCAAAUGGGAUCGAGCGUGUUGGGUUAUGUGGUGCACCCCUGCAGGGAAGUUUAUCUAUUUGAAUAGCCUUGAUCCUCGGUAACAGGACGACCCGGAGUUGUACCUUGACCUUAUGACAACAAGAACCGAAUACUUAAUAAAACACACCCUUCUAAGUGCCAGAUAUAACUCGAUGAUCGCUCUCACACAGGGCGACGAGGAGAGGAUAGCCGAGUAGGAUUAUGCUAUGCGAUGCUACUUGGUGAACUUACCAUCUAUUCUCUUCUACAUGCUGCAAGAUGGAGGCUGCCAGAAGUGUAGUCUUCGACAGGACUAGCUAUCCCCCUCUUAUUCUGGCAUUCUGCAGUUCAGUCCACUGAUAUUGCCCCUUUACACAAAUACCCAUGCAUAUGUAGUCUAGAUCCUUGCUUGCGAGUACUUUGGAUGAGUACUCACGGUUGCUUUUCUCCCUCUUUUCCCCCUUUGCAUUCUUCUCGGUUGUCGAACGAGAUGCUGGAGUCCAGGAGCUAGAGAUCCCGAGGAUGAUUCGACGUGGAGUUCGGCUUCGAGGAGUUGUUAGGAGGUCCCAGGCAGGAGGCCUUGCCUUUUCGAUCGUUGUUAUUUUUGUGCUAGCCUUCUUAAGGCAAACUUGUUUAACUUAUGUCUGUACUCAGAUAUUGUUGCUUCCGCUGACUCGUCUAUGAUCGAGCACUUGUAUUCGAGCCCUUGAGGCCCCUGGCUUGUAUUAUGAUGCUUGUAUGACUUAUUUAUGUUUUAGAGUUGUGUUGUGAUAUCUUCCCGUGAGUUCCUGAUCUUGAUCGUACACGUUUGCGUGCAUGAUUAGUGUACGGUCAAAUCGGGGGCGUCACAGCCAACUACUUGAAGACAAGAAAACAAAUGGAGUAUGAAGAGAGUACUAAUGAAAGGGAAAAUGUUUUGCAAUACCCUCCUGGUGUUUAUUAUGAUGAAUCAGGUAACGAGGAG
rnacentral:lncRNA from 1 species